rnacentral:rRNA from 1 species
ACUGAACGCUGGCGGCAGGCCUAACACGUGCAAGUCGAGCGGAUGAAGGGAGCUUGCUCCUGGAUUCAGCGGCGGACGGGUGAGUAAUGCCUAGGAAUCUGCCUGGUAGUGGGGGAUAACGUCCGGAAACGGGCGCUAAUACCGCAUACGUCCUGAGGGAGAAAGUGGGGGAUCUUCGGACCUCACGCUAUCAGAUGAGCCUAGGUCGGAUUAGCUAGUUGGUGGGGUAAAGGCCUACCAAGGCGACGAUCCGUAACUGGUCUGAGAGGAUGAUCAGUCACACUGGAACUGAGACACGGUCCAGACUCCUACGGGAGGCAGCAGUGGGGAAUAUUGGACAAUGGGCGAAAGCCUGAUCCAGCCAUGCCGCGUGUGUGAAGAAGGUCUUCGGAUUGUAAAGCACUUUAAGUUGGGAGGAAGGGCAGUAAGUUAAUACCUUGCUGUUUUGACGUUACCAACAGAAUAAGCACCGGCUAACUUCGUG